GAUAAACGCUGGCGGCGUGCUUAACACAUGCAAGUCGAACGGAGUAUUCCUCCCGCAGAUUGAAGAAGCUUGCUUCUGAUUGAAGCAUUUGGAAUACUUAGUGGCGGACGGGUGAGUAAAGCGCAGGUAAUCUGCCGCAAAGUCGGGGACAACGUCCCGAAAGGGACGCUAAUACCGGAUGUUGUGCGGAGUUCGCAUGGAUUCUGUACUAAAGAUUUAUCGCUUUGCGAGGAGCCUGCGUCCGAUUAGGUAGUUGGUGUGAUAAAAGCGCACCAAGCCGACGAUCGGUAGCCGGUCUGAGAGGAUGAACGGCCACAAUGGAACUGAGACACGGUCCAUACUCC
rnacentral:rRNA from 1 species